GACGAACGCUGGCGGCGUGCUUAACACAUGCAAGUCGAACGGAAAGGCCCUGCUUUUGUGGGGUGCUCGAGUGGCGAACGGGUGAGUAACACGUGAGUAACCUGCCCUUGACUUUGGGAUAACUUCAGGAAACUGGGGCUAAUACCGGAUAGGAGCUCCUGCUGCAUGGUGGGGGUUGGAAAGUUUCGGCGGUUGGGGAUGGACUCGCGGCUUAUCAGCUUGUUGGUGGGGUAGUGGCUUACCAAGGCUUUGACGGGUAGCCGGCCUGGGAGGGUGACCGGCGACAAUGGGACUGAGAGACGGCCCAGACUCCUACGGGAGGCAGCAGUGGGGAAUAUGGCACAAUGGGCGGAAGCGUGAUGCAGCAACGCCGCGUGCGGGAUGACGGCCUUCGGGUGAUAAACCGCUUUCGCCUGUGACGAAGCGGGAGUGACGGUAAUGGGUAAAGAAGCACCGGCUAACUACGUG
rnacentral:rRNA from 1 species